AUUGAACGCUGGCGGCAUGCUUUACACAUGCAAGUCGAACGGCAGCGCGGGCUUCGGCCUGGCGGCGAGUGGCGAACGGGUGAGUAAUGCAUUGGAACGUGCCCAGUAGUGGGGGAUAGCCCGGCGAAAGCCGGAUUAAUACCGCAUACGACCUGAGGGUGAAAGCGGGGGACCGAAAGGCCUCGCGCUAUUGGAGCGGCCGAUGUCGGAUUAGCUAGUUGGUGGGGUAAAGGCUUACCAAGGCGACGAUCCGUAGCUGGUCUGAGAGGACGACCGGCCACACUGGAAGUGAGACACGGCCCAGACUCCUACGGGAGGCAGCAGUGGGGAAUUUUGGACAAUGGGGGCAACCCUGAUCCAGCCAUGCCGCGUGCGGGAAGAAGGCCUUCGGGUUGUAAACCGCUUUUGUUCGGGAAGAAAUCCUCUGGGCUAAUACCCCGGGGGGAUGACGGUACCGGAAGAAUAAGCACCGGCUAACUACGUG
rnacentral:rRNA from 1 species